rnacentral:lncRNA from 1 species
UUUCGCUGGUGUAACCCAGGACAUAUCUCUGUGAAGAAGGCUUCAUGCUGCCGGGACCUAGAGCUACUAGCUGUCAGCCUCCGGCCAUACUAUUUACCGAGGGAGUUUAGUCACGUGAUCGCUGUGUGUGCUUACAUUCCUCCGAGAGCCGACGCAGCCACUGCCUGUGACAAGAUUCACACUGUCACAGCAAGGCUUCAGACUCUACACCCAGAGGCUUUCUUCUUAAUUUCCGGUGAUUUUAACCAUGCCACCCUGGAUUCUACUCUGGCUGUUUUUUAUCAGUUUGUGAACUGCCCAACUAGAAACAACAAGACAAUUGACCUCCUGUAUGCAAAUGUUAGGGAUGCAUACAGGGUCACCCCCCUCCCCCCACUUGGGAAGUCAGACCACAACCUGGUCUACCUGCAGCCACAAUACACCCCCCUAGUGCAGAGGCAGUCUGUCACAACACGCUCCUUGAGGAGAUGGUCUCCUCAAGCAGAGGAUGCCCUCAGAGACUGCUUCCAAACUACAGACUGGAGUGUACUACUAACUACGCACGGUGAGGACAUAGAGGGGCUGACACACUGCCUGACAGACUAUCUAAACUUCUGCACAGAUGUAGUCGCCCCUACUCGGACUGUUCGCUGCUAUCCAAACAACAAGCCUUGGGUGACGUGUGACGUCAAAACUGUCCUUAAUAAGAAGAAGGCAGCCUUCAGGAGCAGGGACAAGGAGGUGAUUAAGACAGCACAGCGUGAGCUGAAACAGUGUUUGAAAGAGGCGAACGAGAGCUACAGGAGAAAGGUGGAGCACAAACUGAUGGAGAACAAUAUGAGGGAGGUCUGGGAUGGUGUGAAAAUCAUCACAGGCCACAAAGCUAAAAACAGUACAGAGGGGGGGACUGUGGAGAGGGCAAACCAGCUUAACAUCUUUUUCAACAGGUUUGACCAACCAUCCCCCCUCCCACCCAGCCAAGGCACCAACAUAAUGGCACCCUCACUUUCACCACCGUCAUUGGAUCCCCCCUUCCCCUCACCAUUGGACACCGCUCUCCACCCCCCUCUUACCAAUCUCUCCUCAAACACCCCAGUGGACCCUCCUCCCUGCAUUAUUGCUGCUGACCAGGUCAGAGGAGAACUGAGGAAGCUCGCCCAAAGAAAGCAGCGGGCCUAG